CAACAAAUUCUCAAACACUCUCUCUCUCUCUCUCUCUCUCUCUCUCUCUCUCUCUCUCUUUCUCAGGGAGACUCUCUCAGCAGAUAAACAAACAAUGAAAAAACUCAAACUCUCUUGCUCUCUCUUUCUUCUUCAUUGCCAUUUCUUUAACUCCGGUGACCUGCGACACGACCGAUACUAAUGAAUCUAGGGUGAGCCGAUCUACAAAACCCACAUGGCCAUAGGACGGGAAAUUAGCCAACGCGCCGUCACCAAUGGUUUGCUGACUUCAACAGCUGUCGAUCGUGUUCUGCAAAAGGUGUAUGGUGAUUGAGGAAGAUUGUGGUGAUGCAGCUGUGGAGACUUUGAAUCAGUUCCUUGGUUGGUGCAAGCUCUCAUUAUUUUUCGUAAGGUAUUCCUACAAGUAAAUUUGGGUUAUCAUCAUCAAUUGUAUCCUAAUUUCUUUUGCUUCUGUGAGCAUCACCACUUGUGCUCUAUAUAUUCUGGUUCAUUCUAAGCUCACUUCUGUCCUUCGAAUUGAUACCCAUAAAUUCUUCUUGCUCCAUUAUGCUCUAUGUUUAGCUAGACAGUGCUUGGUAUCAUGUUUCUAUGUGAAUUUUUGCCUAUAAUUAAUAACUCGGGACUCCCACUAGUUAAAAUUCAUAAACUAAUUAUAUGGCUUCUCAUUGAUAAUACUGUGAUACUUCACAUCAACUUAUAUUUGUUUCUUUAUUUCUUUUGAUGCCAAAAUGAGCCAUAAUAGCACAAUUAUGAAACCCAAGCUCUUCAUGUCCAUGUUAUAUAUGCAGCACAUCAACUAAAUACAUUGCAAAUGUAACUGUGUCAAUAUAUGCUUCAAAUAAUUGAGUGAUUGAUGCGUAGAAGUCAAUCACAUAUUUGGUGUUGUUUUGAUCUUCUACUUGAUUGUUCUAU